CAGGCUGGUCUCAAACUCCUGACCUCAGGUAAUCCACCCACCUUGGCCUCCCAAAGUACUGGGAUUACAAGUGUCAGCCACUGUGCCCAGCUGGCUGUUUCAAUAUAAAUAUACUUUAUUUGAGUUACAGGGAAGAGGUAUAUAACUGGAAAAGACUUGGUUAUUAUUGUUAUUAGAGUAAUUCAAAGAUAAAGUAGGGAGGAUGGCUCUGCCACUGUUUCAGUUUUAUCUUGUUACUUUGAAGUGGUUUGAUGGCUUGAUAGACCCUGGGUCUGAUGUCUGAUACAUGAUGAUUUGAAAUCCGAAAGGUGUUUGGUGUUACUAUACUGCUCUUACGUGACUUCAAAAUUCAGACAAUACUAUUAUCAAAUGAAUAGACUUUGCACCUUCAUAGGUUUCCCUAUACAGUCUAAACUUCAAGAAUUUAGUCUCACAGUGUCAAUGAGAAAAAGAGAAUGGAAGACACUUAAAAGUUAAGUAUCAUACAAUCAUCAGUAACUUGGAACAACAGGGUGAACAAAAAAGAACCAACUUGCAUAUUUUGUUAUUACCUAUUCCAGAAGGGAAUUCCCAAGGCCACAAGAAAAUGCUUUCUGUCAACAGUGAGUCUGAGAUGUGGCUGUGAUGCCUGUUUGGACACAGGAUGGCUUGAAGAGUCACACAAAGCUGGACAUUGACUGAAACGAAGUGGCUUUGGAGAAAUUCGUGGCCCUGAAAGCUCUCAGAGAGGACGUGUCACCCUGACAGCAGGCUUCAGGGAAAGCUGGCAUGCAGUCCUCUGUCAUCCUGAGCCUGUGACAUUGACCAGGUCCCUUGGUCCACAUGAUAUGCCCAAAAUGAGGAUCAGGAUGUGGUACUCCUCAUCUGCGUCAGUAUGCAUGAUGAACCCCUGCGCUUAAUCUCAGAUCUGGGGCUCAGAUGGUUGGUCUCUGGAUGAAAGAGCACUCGAUGACCCAGCUGAGUAUGUGAGUGUGGUGUGGUGUGGUGGAGGUUUUCACUGAAUCUUUAAACCUACUGUAGGUGUGCUGGGAGUCUUGCUCUUCUCUGAGCCAUUGCGUUUCACAAACUAUGUUUUGGCCACUAUUUAUAGAUACUCUAUGAAGUUUGCCUUUCUUCUGUUUUUGAAAAUAGGAAAGCAUGCCUUAUCAGCUCUCUCUGCCCUCAUUUCUCAUUUUUAGUUAGCAAUAGUUUCUUGCAUUCUGCUCUAUGAAUUUAUCGUUACUGCUACACCUACUAUUUAUUUAUUAUUUAUUUUCCUCUGGUGUUAAAACUGAAACUACUAUUGCUACUUCUAACUACUAAGCAUUUAUUUCUUGCUAGGAAAUCUCAGCAGGAAAAUUAUAACUGCUCAUAUAAGAAUUGCUCCUCAAUAUUGUUUUUAAAUAGUCCUUUGAUGUUCAGUCCAGUGCCUUGCCCCAUCCCCUUUUUAAUAGCUGGAGCCUGAGGCCCAGAAGUGACUUACUGUGAGGAACAUAAGUCAAUACCAGAGCUGACCAGCAAGUGAGGAAAUGGAAGGAAGGGGUCCGAGAUGUUUGCCAUGCGUAUUCCUUCUAGAUCGUGUUGUGUGAAAUCGUUUUCCCAGUGUGGGCGUGGUUUCCUGGCCUGAAUUUUCCAGGUACUCUAUAUUCAGCGCUCUCCCUCACACUUUAAUUCCAUUUUAGACACACACAGGGGAGUGGGAAGGGCCUGAUUAAAUCAACUAUUUUUUUUUUAAACUUUUAUCUUCUGGUUUAAUGUGGCUAAUAUGAGAAGAAAUUGAAAUGCUAACCAGAAUGCCAUUUGAGAUAAUAGAAUUUAUAAUCCAUAUUUUAUGGCCGUCCCCUAUUACCUGUCCUAGAUAAACAGGAGUUGAAUGUCUUGUGUCCUGAUUUUUAUGGUCUCUUGGUUACUACAAUAACAAGAUCACUCAAUCAAUGGAGACUGUUCCAUUAUAGAAUAUCCGUGUUCACUCUGCGUUCUCUUUAUUUCAUCUAUCAGCAGUGAAUAGCACUUUCAUGUUUAAGAUGCUCCCCUUUUAAGUUGAAGAACAAGAAUAAAUGUAUUGAAUGGCUUUGUUCAGUAGCAGCAUUGUCCUUUAGACCCACUGAGAAAUCUUAAGAAUGAAACCAUCAUAAAUAGGCAAACAGGUAAUGUUUCAGUAAAUACUUGUGGCUAGUAUGUUUCCUUUUUAACCAAGAGCCCAGUAAAAUUUGUAAUGACUUCAAAUGACUAAGAACACAAGGCCAUUUAGUGUCCUCAAUAUUUAUUGAUAUGCUUUGCUUAUUUUAAUGGCUUGCAUAUAUUUUUUAUGAAUAAUGGUUUUAUAUAAUUCGUACUGAUACACAAUAAAAGUCUCAUUGUGUUCA